rnacentral:rRNA from 1 species
UACGAAGGGUACGAGCGUUAUUCGGAGUUACUGGGCGUAAAGAGCGUGUAGGCGGUUUGUUAAGUUGGUUGUUAAAUUCCCCGGCCUAACUGGGGAAGUGCAACCGAAACUGGCAGGCUAGAGUACAAGAGAGAGAAGUAGAAUUCCCGGAGUAGCGGUAAAAUGCGUAGAUCUCGGGAGGAAUACCGAUGGCGAAGGCAGCUUCUUGGCUUGUAACUGACGCUAAAGCGCGAAAGCGUGGGGAG